GCCUGGUUGGCUUAGUCAGUAAAGCAUGGGACUCUUGAACUCAGGGUCAUGAGUUCAAGCCCCACAUUGGGCA
rfam:Canis lupus familiaris chromosome 5, whole genome shotgun sequence.